GACGUAGGGCGCGAGCGUUGUCCGGAUUUAUUGGGCGUAAAGAGCUCGUAGGCGGCUUGUUGCGUCGACUGUGAAAACCUGCGGCUCAACCGUGUGGUCUGCAGUCGAUACGGGCAGGCUGGAGUUCGGUAGGGGAGACUGGAAUUCCUGGUGUAGCGGUGAAAUGCGUAGAUAUCUGGAGGAACACCGGUGGCGAAGGCGGCAUCCUGGACCGGCAUUGACGCUGAGGAGCGAAAGCCAGGGGAGCAAACGGG
rnacentral:rRNA from 1 species